ACAUGGAUUCCUGGUUGAAGAAAUCAUUCAACCUUCGUUUUCAUCGAUCCAUACAAGUAGAACAAAGCUCAAAAAUGGUAGUAGUUCAAAGAGUCAAUCUGGGUUCAUAGGGUUUAUUGGUAUCAGGUUUGGGUUCAUGUCAGCUUUCUAAGGAGCCCCAAAGCCUGAACCUUACAUGAUCAAGAUCAUCUACCAAGCCAUUAGGGAACCAAAUCAUAGAACCAGGAAGAUGUAGAAGGUGAUUGAACUCGAAUUAGGUUCCAUUUCAUUGACCAUCAAGCUUUGGUUCCAGAAUAGAAGAUUAUGUUAUCUACUUGUUGGUGGGAUUUCUAUCAGUUUCAAUUUUAAUUUAAGGUGAACUGAUGAAGUGCACGUGAGGUGUUUGAUGAAAUGCUCGAGUGAGUGUAGACAAUAAUUUUUUUCAUCUUUUGGCUGUGUAAAGAUGAAGGUGGUAAGAUAGGUCCUCUGCAUCAUUGAUUCCAGUAAUCAUAUCUUUGAUGAUAUAAAAAUAUCACGUUCUCCUCGGUUAAUCAAUAAAAGAGAAUAUGACUAAAAGCAAGAAAUUUGUGUUAUUUACAAAGAAAGAUUAUUAGUUUCUGUACCCUUCAUUGGAUUUUCUGUUAUGAGCUCUCAACCACAGGAGUUGCUUUUUGCAUGUGCAAGGAACACAAGCAUUGAUCUAGUUCAAAGUUUGGAUCAUCAAAAGUUUUCCUUGAAAGUAUUUGCUUUACAGAUUGAUAAACAACUACCAACCACACCUUACCCUAUUAUAUUAUCUUUUGAUCGUGAGUAUAAACAAAUGGCAACCUUUCAGAUA